GCAAACUUGGUCAUUUAGAGGAAGUAAAAGUCGUAACAAGGUUUCCGUAGGUGAACCUGCGGAAGGAUCAUUAACGUGCCCCAGUCGGGACGCUGCGUACAUACGUGCGCGCGUCUCCGCACCGGCCACCCGUGUCUACCGAACCUCAGUUGCCUCGGCGGGCCCGCCCCCUUCCGGGGGCCGCCGGGGGCGCCCCCACGCGCCCCGGGCCCGUGCCCGCCGCAGGACCUCUGGAACUCGUGUGAAGAAGUGUCUCUGUUCUGAAGUCACGAUCACAAUCGUUUUAUAUAAAACUUUCAACAACGGAUCUCUUGGUUCCGGCAUCGAUGAAGAACGCAGC
rnacentral:misc_RNA from 1 species